rnacentral:rRNA from 1 species
UGCCAGACUCCUACGGGAGGCAGCAGUGGGGGAUAUUGCACAAUGGGGGGAACCCUGAUGCAGCGACGCCGCGUGGGUGAAGAAGCGCCUCGGCGCGUAAAGCCCUGUCAGCAGGGAAGAAGAUGACGGUACCUGAAGAAGAAGCCCCGGCUAACUACGUGCCAGCAGCCGCGGUAAUACGUAGGUGGCAAGCGUUGUCCGGAAUUACUGGGUGUAAAGGGAGCGCAGGCGGGAAGCCAAGUCAGCUGUGAAAACUACGGGCUUAACUUGUAGACUGCAGUUGAAACUGGUUUUCUUGAGUGAAGUAGAGGUUGGCGGAAUUCCGAGUGUAGCGGUGAAAUGCGUAGAUAUUCGGAGGAACACCGGUGGCGAAGGCGGUCUGCUGGACAGCAACUGACGCUGAGGCGCGAAAGCGUGGGGAGCAAACAGGAUUAGAUACCCGGGUAAA